ensembl:lncRNA
UCUGUUCUACAUUUAAAACCACCAUCAUCAAGGUAGAUCUACCAGAAUAAUUCAAACCAUCACCCAAACGUUUUGACUGGUUUCUCAGUGAACAGUUCUGUGACUGGUCCUAAAACAACCUUACUAAAUGUUUCUUUUGUCUCCCGGCUGGACUGAUAAGGGUUGAAAGAAAACUGCUAUUCAAAUGACCUUCUGGGAGUGACCAUUCUGAGUUCCUUGUUUUGUCUCUGAGUCCGAGAGUAGGCUAAACCACAAACCAGAAUGGACGGACUUGUUCAAACUAAAUGUUAGAAGAGGGCAGAUUAUAAAACUUUGAACCAUGGAGUCCAGAACUGUUGAAUACCAUUCACCAGUUUCUUAUUUCGCCCCUUUGAUUGGGCACACCUAGUGGGUCGCUUCAUUUCACACAAAGUGGCCAUGAAUGCAUCUCAGCGCUGCAGGGGACGAACCUGUAGGGAGGUUCAUUCAAAGCUCCGUCCGUCUUUUCAAAUCAAACCUCCAUAGGUCGAGAUCUGAAGCCGUUGAUUGGCGGGUCAGUCCUGGGAUGUGUUCCGGUUGAGUGUCUCUGGAUUCAUGUGUUCAUCAGUCGGUAACCUUAUUUCACCAAGAACCACCAAGAACCAUGAAGAACCACAGAACACCAAGAUUAUCAAGAAACACAGGACGACAAAAAUACCAAGAACCACAGAACACCAAGAACACCAAGAACCACAGGACAUCAAGAACCACAGGACACCAAGAACCACCGGACACCAAGAACCACAGGACACUGAGAACCACAGGACACCAAGAACACCAAGAACCACAGAACACCAAGAACAUCAAGAACCACAGGACGCCAAGAACCACAGGACACCAAGAACACCAAGAACCACAGGACACCAAGUAAACCAAGAACCACAGGACACCAAGAACAUCAAGAACCACAGGACACCAAGAAGACCAAGAACCACAGGACACCAUGAACCACAGGACACCAAGAACCACAGGACACCAAGAACACCAAGAACAAACAAGAACCACAGGACACCAAGAACACCAAGAACCACAGGACCCCAAGAAC